rnacentral:rRNA from 1 species
UACGAAGGGGGCUAGCGUUGCUCGGAAUGACUGGGCGUAAAGGGCGCGUAGGCGGCUCUAUUUGUCAGGCGUGAAAUUCCUGGGCUCAACCUGGGGGCUGCGCUUGAGACGGUGGGGCUAGAGGUCAGAAGAGGCUCGUGGAAUUCCCAGUGUAGAGGUGAAAUUCGUAGAUAUGUGGAGGAACACCGAUGGCGAAGGCAGCCCCCUGGGUCAAGACUGACGCUCAUGCACGAAAGCGUGGGGAGCAAACAGG